GACGUAGGGGACGAGCGUUGUCCGGAUUUAUUGGGCGUAAAGCGCGUGUAGGCGGCCAGAUAGGUCUGCUGUGAAAACUCGAGGCUCAACCUCGAGCUGUCGGCGGAAACCAUCUGGCUAGAGUCCGGAAGAGGAGAGUGGAAUUCCUGGUGUAGCGGUGAAAUGCGCAGAUAUCAGGAAGAACACCUAUGGCGAAGGCAGCUCUCUGGGACGGUACUGACGCUGAGACGCGAAAGCGUGGGGAGCGAACAGG
rnacentral:rRNA from 1 species